CACUCCCCAUCUGGCUUUCUGCCCCAGGAGGCUCACUUGUGUGAAUUACAUGAACAGGGUUCCUUUGCCCUCUGACUUUCUGUGGGAUUUAGUCACAGGAAUGCCACAGCAGAAGAUCCAAGAGAGGGAAGAGGAGAAGCUGUAGACUCUAUAGCCUAUCACUUGUGGUUCUCCUGCACCAGCCGCACCUUGGUAAGUAGUAACUAAAUCCUCUUCAAGUGAUCCGGGGUCUGAUUAUGCAUCUGUUUCCUUCUGGGACCAAGACUGAUGUACCCCUAUCAAGUAUAGAGAGCAAGAUGGUUCUCCCACUGCAUCCUGCCUAUAUGGGCCCAGUUUUAGCACAGAACAAAAGAAGAGGAUGCAAGGAAACAAUACUACUACCACUACUUCUAUUAAUAAUAAAAGCCAAUAUUUACUGAUAUUAGCCAGGAGCUGUCAAAUAAAACCAAAUCUCACCAA